UACGGAGGGAGCUAGCGUUGUUCGGAAUUACUGGGCGUAAAGCGCACGUAGGCGGCUUUUUAAGUCAGGGGUGAAAUCCCGGGGCUCAACCCCGGAACUGCCUUUGAAACUGGAGAGCUAGAAUCUUGGAGAGGCGAGUGGAAUUCCGAGUGUAGAGGUGAAAUUCGUAGAUAUUCGGAGGAACACCAGUGGCGAAGGCGGCUCACUGGUCCAUUACUGACGCUGAGGUGCGAAAGCGUGGGGAGCAAACAGG
rnacentral:rRNA from 1 species